GAUGAAGAACGCAGCGAAAUGCGAUAAGUAGUGUGAAUUGCAGAAUUCAGUGAAUCAUCGAAUCUUUGAACGCACAUUGCGCCCCUUGGUAUUCCAUGGGGCAUGCCUGUUCGAGCGUCAUUUGUACCUUCAAGCUUUGCUUGGUGUUGGGUGUUUGUCUCGCCUUUGCGUGUAGACUCGCCUUAAAAUAAUUGGCAGCCGGCGUAUUGAUUUCGGAGCGCAGUACAUCUCGCGCUUUGCACUCAUAACGACAGCGUCCAAAAGUACAUUUUACACUCUUGACCUCGGAUCAGGUAGGGAUCCCCGCUGAACUUAAGCAUAUCAAUAAGCGGAGGA
rnacentral:misc_RNA from 1 species